rnacentral:rRNA from 1 species
CCUACGGGUGGCAGCAGUGGGGACUAUUGCACAAUUGGGGAAACCCUGAUGCAGCGACGCCGCGUGCGUGAAGAAGUAUCUCGGUACGUAAAGCUCUAUCAGCAGGGAAGAUAAUGACGGUAACUGACAAAGAAGCCCUGGCUAACGACGAGACAGCAGAAGCGGUAAUACGUAGGGGGCAACCGUUAUCCGGAUUGACUGGGGGUAAAGGGAACGUAGACUGCAGAAAAAUUCUGGAGUGAAGUCCCGGGGGUUAAACCCGUAACUGCUUUGGAAACUGUGCGGCUGGAGUGCAGGAGGGGUAAGCGGAAUUCCUAGUGUAGAGGUGAAAUGAGUAGAUAUUAGGAGGAACACCGGUGGCGAAGGCAGCUUACUGGCCUGUAACUGACGUUGAGGCUCGAAGGCGUGGGGAGCAAACAGGAUUAGAUACCCGGGUAGUC